AAACCAGGAAACCACCUAAAUGCCCUUCAAUCAGUGUGUGGAUAAACCAUGGCCCCGCCAUACAGCAGAGUACAGCCCAGCAGCAAGAAGGGAGCAAGUGCCAUAGGGAUGACGGCCCCCUGAGUCUCAGAGGCAUCGUAUGAGGGAAAGGCACCAGACCAAAGGCCGCCAGCCAUGGGAUCCCAUCACAUGACAUGCUGGAUAAGACAAAACUCGGGACAGAAAGCGGACGGGGUGUGGGGCCAGGGUGUGGGGAGGGCAGCAUGUGGGAGUCACUGGGGCACAUAGGGCAGUGUUGGUUGCACGGCUGCUUGCGUUUGUUAAAAUUCACACAGUGAUGCCCCCAAAAGGUGACUUUUACUAUGUGAGUGACACCCCAGGAAUCCAGACAUGGAGGGGAGGCUGGGUGCUGGGUUGGCAGCUACCAGGUACCCCCCCAUACAUGCACACACAAGCACAUGCAGCACAUGUGAGCACACACACACACACACCCCAAUCAGGAACAGAAGGAAACAAGUUCAGCUCUGGAAGGUGAACACGUCGAUCACGCUUUCUUCUGGAACACAGCAAGUUCUUUCAUUCUGCAAUGACAGGCUCAUCUGUAUUUUCAGAAAAGCCACAGUUAGCAAUUACACAUAUUUGUAAUUACCUAAGUAAUAAAUGAAUAUUUUCUUUUUGUUUAAAAAAAACAAAGAGAAGGGGGAGAGGUGGAGGGAGGGGAGAGAAACAUGGCAGAUGACCCACAGACCCUCCAGCCUAGAUCUCAGAUUCUCCUCUGCCCUUUGUUUCUGUCUUUCUCCACUACGUAGACGGCCAAUCUUCGGACACCUCUGUUGUUACCAAACAGAAAUGCAAGUUUGUUUACCCGACACACAGUGGGGCCAAUCACUGAAAUGUCGAUCUUGAGACAAGGAAAGAGGUUUAUUAUCAAAAGGCAGCCAGACGAGGAGAUGGGAGUCAGAACUCAGAUCUGCCUCCUCAAAGGGAAAAAGGCAGGGGUUUCUAUCUGGGGUUCUAGGUAGGGGAGGGGCAUGGGGCCUGGCUGUUGGCGCCUUCCCACCAGCCUGCAUUUGGCCCCGUGAGGCUGUCUCCUUUCUUCUUGACGGUGUGGACGUUGGUUUCCUGGGAAAAACAGACAGAAAGAUAUGGUUGGUUUUAGCUGAG
rnacentral:lncRNA from 1 species